GCGUUAUUAGCUCAGUUGGUAGAGCAGCGGACUUUUAAUCCGCGGGUCGUAGGUUCGAGUCCUACAUAACGCA
rnacentral:tRNA from 1 species